rnacentral:rRNA from 1 species
GCGCACGGGUGAGUAACACGUAGGUGACCUACCUUUUGGCGGGGGAUAACCCUUGGAAACGAGGGCUAAUACCGCGUAAGAUCAACAAAUUUGAAAGUAGUUGAUGAAAAAUUGCCUCUAUACUAUGCAAUCACCGAAAGAUGGGCCUGCGAGACAUUAGCUUGUUGGUGGGGUAAUGGCCUACCAAGGCUACGAUGUCUAGCGGAUCUGAGAGGAUGAUCCGCCACACUGGAACUGAGACACGGUCCAGACUCC